rnacentral:rRNA from 1 species
UACGAAGGGGGCUAGCGUUGCUCGGAAUCACUGGGCGUAAAGGGUGCGUAGGCGGGUCUUUAAGUCAGAGGUGAAAUCCUGGAGCUCAACUCCAGAACUGCCUUUGAUACUGAGGAUCUUGAGUACGGGAGAGGUGAGUGGAACUGCGAGUGUAGAGGUGAAAUUCGUAGAUAUUCGCAAGAACACCAGUGGCGAAGGCGGCUCACUGGCCCGAUACUGACGCUGAGGUGCGAAAGCGUGGGGAGCAAACAGG